rnacentral:rRNA from 1 species
CGAACGGCAGCACGGACUUCGGUCUGGUGGCGAGUGGCGAACGGGUGACCCAUAUAUCGGAACAUACCCUAGAGUGGGGGAUAACGUAGCGAAAGUUACGCUAAUACCGCAUACGAUCUAAGGAUGAAAGUGGGGGAUCUUCGGACCUCAUGCUCAUGGAGUGGCCGAUAUCUGAUUAGCUAGUUGGUGAGGUAAAGGCUCACCAAGGCGACGAUCAGUAGCUGGUUUGAGAGAACGACCAGCCACACUGGAACUGAGACACGGUCCAGACUCCUACAGGAGGCAGCAGUGGGGAAUUUUGGACAAUGGGGGCAACCCUGAUCCAGCAAUGCCGCGUGAGUGAAGAAGGCCUUCGGGUUGUAAAGCUCUUUUGUCAGGGAAGAAACGGUGGGGGCGAAUAACUUCUACUAAUGACGGUACCUGAAGAAUAAGCACCGGCUAACUACGUGCCAGCAGCCGCGGUAAUACGUAGGGUGCAAGCGUUAAUCGGAAUUACUGGGCGUAAAGCGUGCGCAGGCGGUUUGAUAAGACAGAGGUGAAAUCCCCGGGCUCAACCUGGGAACUGCCUUUGUGACUGUCAGGCUAGAGUGUGUCAGAGGGGGGUAGAAUUCCACGUGUAGCAGUGAAAUGCGUAGAGAUGUGGAGGAAUACCGAUGGCGAAGGCAGCCCCCUGGGAUAACACUGACGCUCAUGCACGAAAGCGUGGGGAGCAAACAGGAUUAGAUACCCUGGUAGUCCACGCC